UACAGAGGUUCCAAGCGUUGUUCGGAUUUACUGGGCGUAAAGGGCGCGUAGGCGGUUUGUUAAGUUGGAUGUGAAAACUGUGGGCUCAACCUGCAGCCUGCAUCCAAUACUGACAGGCUAGAGUUCUGGAGGGGAUAGCGGAAUUCCUGGUGUAGCGGUGAAAUGCGUAGAUAUCAGGAGGAACACCGGUGGCGAAGGCGGCUAUCUGGACAGAGUCUGACGCUGAGGCGCGAGAGCUAGGGGAGCAAACAGG
rnacentral:rRNA from 1 species